UUUUCUUUCCUUUUCUUUAAAAAUAUAGAACAAUAAAAGGAAAAUCCAUCUUAAAAUAUGACGUACUUAUCUACUCAGUGUGACCCUUGACAUAGAUGAUUUGGCCAUUACAUUUUUAAGAUUUUCAUUUUACAAUGUCAACCACCUCUUGCUUGCAAAGUGUGCAAAACUGCCUAAUGGAAAACAGAUUUCUCCACACACUUUUUUCUUGUAGCUAGGAUUGGGUGAAUUCAAGUGGAAAUGUUGGUUACAUUUUUAGUCUUAGCUUUUUUUAGAAAGAUAAUUACAGAAUAAUUAUGGACUAACUACAGAAAAUAGUAAAUGUUUGCCCAAGUAGAAGGAAUGGCUAUGUGAAUUUAGUACCUGGCGGCUUUCUUUAGAACUGAAUGUUAUUUACACAGCGAAAUGGGAAACAAUUCAAGUAGAGCAACCUAUGAAAGACCCCAGAAAAUGAGAAGCAUGUAAGUAAAAACGACAAGAAACGUUUUCUAAGGUCCUAUUUUGCCUGAGAAGAAACUGAAGAUAGAAGGAGAGAAGAGGCGAGCAUAAAACAAAAGACUUCCUUUCUCCAGCCCCACUUUCCCUGUUUCUUUUGUCAUAGGUUGUUGUGAACUCAGGCAAACAUUGAAAGGUUUUCUUUUGGGGGGCGGGGGGCACUUUUGAUUAAUUUUAUUUUUCCAGAGAUAGGGGAGUAGUAGUUAAACAUGCCUCUCGAGUUACAGAACAGAAGUUCAAACUUUUGAAAACAAAAGAGAGGAAAAGAAAAGAAAGAAAGAAAAAAGGCAGAAAACCAAAGUUAUCCGACCUGCUGAGGCUGCUAACAAAAAAGUAAAAGGCGUUCUAAAAGCAUAGCUCAGUUUCACUGUCCGGGUCGGGGUCGGUGAUUGGUAGUUGAGGGAAGGCUUGUUUCGCCUAUGCCGUCUAGAAGACGUUGAGCAGCACUGCUAUAUACAGGAGUGUAAGACGGGAGAGUUAUUCUCGGGUUUAUUCAGCUCAGUGAAGCUGCAGUAGCUAAAAGCCAAGUGCUCCCGACUGCACGCCGCUGGCCUAACGCGGCUCGUCCCCGCUUUCCCGGCAACCGAUCUGGGAGGGAAUCCUGGACUCGCAACCCGACUCCGCUCGGCGUUGAUUGGCUCCUGCUCAGGACCCCGCCUCCAAGGUAGAGGCGGCCACUUCGUAGGGACCCGCCCCCCGGCCGUGGGAAUCGCCGCCUAGCAGGCGGGCUGCGGCUGCCACUCAGUCGGAGUGGCGGAGGCUCUGGGUUCGUAGCCCCGCCUCCUCCCCCCUAAUUGAUAUUAUUGGAGUGUGGAGCAAGCGGCCGGUCUGCAGUCGGAGACUUGCAGGCAGCAAACACGGUGCGAACGAACCGGAGGGGGGAGAGAGAAAUCAAACAGCUAAGCGUGGAGCAGACGGCCUGGGACCCAGAAGGGGAUCGAUGCGAGGAGCGCAAUAAUAACAACAAUAAUAACCCACUUCGGAGCAAACAGCAUCUAAAGAGCUGCGACCCAACUGCAGCCUAAAAAAAUCAAACCUGCUCAUGCACCAUGGUUGUUCAAACUCGGUUCCCUUCGUGGAUUAUUUUGUGUUACAUCUGGCUGCUUGGCUUUGCACACACGGGGGAGGCGCAGGCUGCGAAGGAAGUACUAUUACUGGACUCGAAAGCACAACAAACAGAAUUGGAAUGGAUUUCCUCUCCACCCAGUGGGUGGGAAGAAAUUAGUGGUUUGGAUGAGAACUACACUCCGAUAAGAACAUACCAGGUGUGCCAGGUCAUGGAGCCCAACCAGAACAACUGGCUGCGGACUAACUGGAUUUCUAAAGGCAACGCACAAAGGAUUUUUGUAGAAUUGAAAUUCACCUUGAGGGAUUGUAAUAGUCUUCCCGGAGUCCUGGGAACUUGCAAGGAAACGUUUAAUUUGUACUAUUAUGAAACAGACUACGACACCGGCAGGAAUAUACGAGAAAACCUUUAUGUUAAAAUAGACACCAUUGCUGCAGAUGAAAGUUUCACACAAGGUGACCUUGGUGAAAGAAAGAUGAAGCUGAACACUGAGGUGAGAGAGAUUGGACCUUUGUCCAAAAAGGGAUUCUAUCUUGCCUUUCAGGAUGUAGGGGCUUGCAUAGCAUUGGUUUCUGUCAAAGUGUACUACAAGAAGUGCUGGUCCAUUGUUGAGAACUUAGCUGUCUUUCCAGAUACAGUGACUGGUUCGGAAUUUUCCUCCUUAGUCGAGGUCCGUGGGACAUGUGUCAGCAGUGCCGAGGAAGAGGCAGAAAAUUCCCCCAGAAUGCAUUGCAGUGCAGAAGGAGAGUGGCUAGUACCCAUUGGAAAAUGCAUCUGCAAAGCAGGCUAUCAGCAAAAAGGGGACACUUGCGAACCCUGUGGCCGCAGGUUCUACAAAUCUUCCUCUCAGGAUCUCCAGUGUUCUCGUUGUCCAACCCACAGCUUCUCUGACCGAGAAGGAUCAUCCAGGUGUGAAUGUGAAGAUGGGUACUACAGAGCUCCUUCUGAUCCACCAUACGUUGCAUGCACGAGGCCUCCCUCUGCACCACAGAACCUUAUUUUCAAUAUCAAUCAAACGACUGUAAGUUUGGAAUGGAGUCCUCCGGCUGACAACGGGGGAAGAAACGAUGUCACCUACAGAAUACUGUGUAAGCGGUGCAGUUGGGAACAGGGAGAAUGUGUGCCAUGCGGAAGUAACAUUGGAUACAUGCCCCAGCAGACGGGAUUAGAGGAUAACUAUGUCACUGUCAUGGACCUACUUGCCCAUGCAAAUUACACUUUCGAAGUUGAAGCUGUAAAUGGAGUUUCGGACUUAAGCAGAUCCCAGAGGCUCUUCGCUGCUGUUAGCAUCACCACCGGUCAAGCAGCUCCCUCGCAAGUGAGUGGAGUCAUGAAGGAGCGAGUACUGCAGCGGAGUGUGCAGCUUUCCUGGCAGGAGCCGGAGCAUCCCAAUGGAGUCAUCACGGAAUAUGAAAUCAAGUAUUAUGAGAAAGAUCAACGGGAAAGGACGUACUCAACACUCAAAACCAAGUCCACCUCCGCCUCCAUUAAUAAUCUGAAACCGGGAACAGUGUACGUCUUUCAGAUCCGGGCGGUCACUGCUGCCGGUUAUGGAAACUACAGCCCUAGGCUUGAUGUUGCCACACUUGAGGAAGCUUCAGGUAAAAUGUUUGAAGCGACAGCAGUCUCCAGUGAACAGAAUCCUGUCAUCAUAAUUGCUGUAGUGGCUGUAGCAGGGACCAUCAUCUUGGUGUUCAUGGUGUUCGGCUUCAUCAUUGGAAGAAGGCACUGUGGUUAUAGCAAGGCUGACCAAGAAGGGGAUGAAGAACUCUACUUUCAUUCUUUAGUAACAAAUGAGCACCUGUCAGUUUUAUAAACCGCAACAAUAACUGUUUAAGACAAUCAAUUUUGGAUAAACAAUCAACUACAGCAGAAUAAAUCAAGAUUUUUAAGUCCCAUUUUCCUUUAUACAUUCUGCUUAUUUUGUUGUUAUAUGUUUAUUUUUUAAACUCUGAUCUUGAUUGAAUGUGAUACCAUAAGCACAGUUAGGCUGCAGUGUAAAUAUAUAAAGACAUUGUUCUGAGAGCAGUACGAUUUCAUGGAAAGAUUGUUUGGUGGCUUUGUUAAAAUUAAUAAAGAAUUUUUAAGGAUAUAGUGUAAUUUUCUUCAUUGCAUUAAUAUAACCAAAUAUGCCUACCUAUCUUUGUCUUGAACCAAAUGAAUAGAUUUGGAAUACUUUAUUGUAAUUGAAUUUGAUAUAAAGUUGACUGAGCAUUUAUGUGUUACCUGCAUGCUUCUGGGUGCAUUGAAAUAUUUUAACUUUUAAAAUGAUACUAUGUUGUUUCAAUUUUGACUACCUUUUGUGAGGCAUACUGGCUACCUCCUCCUAUUAGCUAAGAUCUUCCAAAGCCUUAUAAUGAAAAGUUUAUAUAAACCAUUUCUCUUUCAAAUCACUGUCAUACUUGGUCACGGAUCCCAGGAAUAUUGUAAAUUUUCUAAUUUACUCUGCACUUUGUAUAUCCAGCCUCUAUUACCCUCAAGGUGAAUAUAAAACUAUGUCUUUUGAAUAUUUCUCUUUGAUUUUGUGAUAGCAGUCCCUCAUAUCUUGUACUAAUUUUAUGUAUAUGUCAACAGUGGUUGGUCUUUAAAAAUAAAUCAAAGAAUAAGUAAGAUGUCUAAAUGUUUUUAAUAUUGCUGUCAGUGUAGUGGUCUACCUGUAAAUGAAAUGUCUUAUUUCCCUGGUGUAUUAAUUUGAUGGAUUGACUGGCUGAUAGAUUUAUCAAUGUGUCUACAAGUCCAUUCCAACCCUCGGUAUGGCAUGAAGUAAGCUGUGAUGGCUCUGAGUUUAAUCAAAACCUCCGGUCCGAUAGGCACAGGCACGUCAGAAAUUUCGGUGGAUGUCUUUUGUUGAUUUACUGGAAAAGCAAUUCAGUUAGUAACCUAUGAGUUGGAUCCUAUGCUACCUAUAGAAGCUUGCACAUAAUACGUAGACGCCAGCAGACUGGAGUAGUCUGUUAAAACUGCUGUGAAUGAGGUGAUGUGGAAGCAAGGUCACUGUUCCAAGGAGCACUCUGCAUAAUGACAUUCCUGGGCUGACUGCACAAUAAGUGCUUUGCUUCAUCACAGUCAUGCUUUCUUACAUCAUUACAGUUAAAUUUCCAGGCACCAAAACCUACAUUGACCCUGAAACCUAUGAGGACCCAAAUAGAGCUGUCCAUCAAUUCGCCAAGGAGCUAGAUGCCUCCUGUAUUAAAAUUGAGCGUGUGAUUGGUGCAGGAGAAUUUGGAGAAGUUUGCAGUGGUCGUUUGAAACUUCCGGGGAAGAGAGAUGUUGCAGUGGCCAUAAAAACCCUGAAAGUUGGUUACACAGAAAAGCAAAGGAGGGACUUUUUAUGCGAAGCAAGCAUCAUGGGGCAAUUUGACCACCCAAAUGUCGUCCAUUUGGAAGGGGUUGUUACAAGAGGGAAGCCUGUCAUGAUUGUGAUAGAGUUCAUGGAGAAUGGAGCCCUGGAUGCAUUUCUCAGGAAACACGAUGGGCAGUUUACAGUCAUUCAGUUGGUAGGAAUGUUGAGAGGUAUUGCCGCUGGGAUGCGAUACUUGGCUGAUAUGGGAUACGUUCACAGGGACCUUGCAGCGCGCAACAUCCUUGUCAACAGCAAUCUUGUUUGUAAAGUGUCAGAUUUUGGCCUUUCCCGGGUUAUAGAGGAUGAUCCCGAAGCUGUCUACACCACGACUGGUGGAAAAAUUCCAGUAAGGUGGACUGCACCGGAAGCCAUUCAAUACCGGAAGUUCACCUCAGCCAGCGAUGUGUGGAGCUAUGGGAUUGUCAUGUGGGAAGUGAUGUCUUAUGGAGAAAGACCUUACUGGGACAUGUCAAAUCAAGAUGUCAUUAAAGCGAUAGAAGAAGGUUAUCGUUUGCCGGCGCCCAUGGAUUGCCCAGCUGGUCUUCACCAGCUAAUGCUGGAUUGUUGGCAGAAAGAUCGGGCGGAAAGGCCAAAGUUUGAGCAGAUAGUCGGAAUUCUAGACAAAAUGAUUCGAAACCCAAGUAGUCUGAAAACACCCCUGGGAACUUGUAGUAGACCCUUAAGCCCUCUUCUGGACCAGAGCACUCCUGACUUCACUGCCUUCUGUUCAGUUGGAGAAUGGUUGCAAGCUAUUAAAAUGGAAAGGUAUAAGGACAACUUCACAGCAGCGGGUUACAACUCACUCGAGUCAGUGGCCAGGAUGACUAUCGAUGAUGUGAUGAGUUUAGGGAUCACACUGGUUGGCCAUCAAAAGAAGAUCAUGAGCAGCAUCCAGACUAUGCGGGCACAAAUGUUGCAUUUACACGGAACAGGCAUCCAAGUGUGACACAUCGGCCUCCCUCAGAUGAGGCUUAAGACUGCAGGAGAACAGUUCUGGCCUUCAGUAUACGCAUAGAAUGCUGCUAGAAGACAGUUGAUAUACUGGGUCCUUCCUACAAGAAAGAGAAGAUUUUAGAAGCACCUCCAGACUUGAACUCCUAAGUGCCACCAGAAUAUACAAAAAGGGAAUUUAGGAUCCACCACUGGUGGCCAGGAACACAGCAGAGACAAUAAACAAAGUACUACCUGAAAAACAUCCCAACACCUUGAGCUCUCGAACCUCCUUUUUAUCUUAUAGACUUUUUAAAAAUGUACAUAAAGAAUUUAAGAAAGAAUAUAUUUGUCAAAUAAAAAUCAUGAUCUUAUUGUUAAAAUCAAUGAAAUAUUUUCCUUAAAAUAUGUGAUUUCAGACUAUUCUUUUCCAGAACCAUCUGUGUUUAUUCUGCUUAAGGACUUUGUUUUAGAAAGUUAUUUGUAGCUUUGGACCUUUUUAGUGUUAAAUUUAUGACACGUUACUACACUGGGUACCUUUGAAGACUCUCAAACUUAAAGGAAAGCAAAACUACGCACAUAGUCGAGGAUGGGACUUUGUCCUUCAUGGCUUUGGUAUCCUGGCUGUGUCAUUUUGUUAAACCAGUGAUGUUUUCAUAUUGUUUGCUGAUUGGCAGGUAGUUCAAAAUUGCAAGUUGCCAAGAGCUCUGAUAUUUUUUAACAGGAUUUUUUUUUCUUUGUAAAAAUCAGACAACAUACUAACUUUUCAAUGAAAAAAAAAAAAAAAAAGAAAGCAAUAAUGAUCCAUAAAUACUAUAAGGCACUUUUAACAGAUUGUUUAUAGAGUGAUUUACUAGGCAGAAUUUAAUAAAAAAAAAAGAGAGAUGUCAAAUUUUAGGUUUAUGUGUAUAUGAUAAAAGGCUGAGCUUCGUCUGAAGAUGCUGGUGAAAGCAAGACUGGAAGCGAAGCUCUCCAGCUUUGGCUAACCCAAUCCGAGCACAUCAAGAGCUUCAGUCUUGUGACAGUAAGAAAUUUAGGAACAUAGUUGACCUAUAUUUUGUAUUCUUUCUUGUUGAAUGCAGUCCAAAUACAAAAGUAAGGAAUUCAGUUUUCUAUUGUUACUCUGAAGCAAGAUCACAGGGGCCAUUCUCUUCUCACCACUCACAGACAAACUAGCCGCAAAUAUUUCCACCAAUGCAGUGAGAAGAAAGCAACACAGAGGUAUUUUAUCUAUGAACAGUGACACACACACACACACACACACACACACACACACACACACAAACCCUUUUAGGUCAAAACUCUUUUACCCCAGAAGGAAGAAGUAAAGGGUCUGGCUUUUCUGUUUCCACUUUAUUUAUCAGACCAUAUUAUUUGGUUACUGUGUUUGAAUUUCAUAAGCAAUAAUUAAAUGUGUCUUUAUAGCUAUUUCAGGAAUGUAUACAUAUUUGAGUAAUGUUUUCAAAAGUUACAAAAAUCAUGAACUACCCCAAAACUGAACUGUUGUACUUCCAAAGAAAAUUGGGCUGUUUAUAAUGAUUUUACUAGAGAAAGAUCCCAGGGAUCGGUCCUAAUUGGUGUUGUUUGGUCAUGUGGACAUCCACAAACAAUCAAACAAACAAACAAACAAACAAGAACAGGUAACAAGCAAAAUCUGUAAAUGUUCCUUUGUAAAACUUGUAAAUUUUAUUUAUACCGUCUUGUUUUGUAUACACAUUUCUCAGUCGUGGCUCCGAGGACAUGAAAAUGCUCUAUAUUUUUCUAUUUUACUUGCAGAGCUUCACAAAGAAACAGGUAUUUUCAGUGCUACUUAUUGUGUUUUCCCACAUUUAGGACCAAAGAUGGCUAUAGAAAACUCAAAUGGAUUGCGUCCCAAGCCCCGCCCUAUCCUUCUUUUUCCUUUUUAUCACUGUACAGUGUUAUUUGAUAUUUUAAUUUAUUUUUUGAUUGAGUAGAAAACUCAUUUUAAUUUCUCUAAAAUGUUUUUUGUCCCUUAGGAAAAAAAAUAAUCUGUAAAAAUAGUUUUAAUUAGCAUAAUCCAGUCACCCUAGACACUUCCAUUUGUAAUCUUUGUAAUAGACUGUAAAUAUAUUUUUGGAACUAUAACACAAUGUGCUUGAGGGUUAUUUUUCAGUGUCUGCAGUGUAUACAAAAGUGUUUAACCUCAGUAUAGCACUUUACAAUUCUAAUCAGUAGCGUUGGCCUUUGUGCGAAUGAGUGCGAGCUUGAGCGAGUGUUCUCUAAUUCCGUUUGGAUUCCGGACUCACUAAUAAUGAAGUUCUUUUCUUGUUCAUAGCUUAAGGUGCUUAUUUUUUCUAUUAAAAAUUAAAUUAACAAAAAAGCCAUUCUAGAAAUAGAAGACGCAGUAUGGUACAUGCAGACAGAGUCUUUCCUGCUUUUUCUAGUAAUAGAUUUAUAGUUGAGUAGUCUUUCUUGAGUAGAAGGGCAGAAUAAAAGUGGUUUUUUUGGGUUUUCUUUUCAAGAAAUAACUUUUUCCUUCAGCAAUAUACCUCAUCUGCCUUAAAUUUUUUACAGCUCUUUACAGGGAAAGGGGAGACGGGAUGGAAAAGACACAGCACAAUAAGAAGUGGAUGAUUGCAUCGUGCUCUCGUUUGUAGGUCUCUUUUCCUAAUCAACACUAUGAUUUUGAAGUACGCGUACACGAAGCAAACGGGAAGAGAUAAGGAAUUAGCAUUGUGAACCUGACUGUAAUCCUCUCUUCCGGAAAGAGAUGAGAUGCUAUUGCGAUGAGAAUGUACAACUUGCACCUUGAAAUCUUUUUUGAUAAUUAGUGCUCAGGGGAGGGGGGGGGAAGUAGAGAAAGCAAACGCCCAACAGAGAAUUCCAAAAGUAUAGAACACGCAACAGGAAAUGGCCUCCUUGCUUUAAUACAGCCGCCUUUUAUAGAACACCGCCCACCCAAACCACCUGGUUUGCGUUCAGUACUGAGAUACAUUCAAGUAACUUCUUACAUUGGGAGCUAAUAUUUUCUCAGCAGUGGAUCAGGGCCCUGUUUACUAGACUGGUGGCUGGCUCAUGCUUCUCAGAGCACUGUUAGUAGAAUCAUAUUGUAUACUUAUGUAAUCUACAUUAGCUAGCACUCUUUAGGACUCUAUUUUAAUUGCUCCUCUUCUUGGUGUUUUUAAGACAAUGGAAAGGGUGUAAGUCACCUCUCUUUUAUUUAGGUAAUGCUGAUCCCUUCCCUUUUGUUUCCUGAGCAGCCCAGAACUGUACUGCUCUCCAAUGUGCAUGUUCCAACGAAUAACUGAUGUGUAUUUUUUUGCUAUAUGUGGAGAAAUCAUGGGGAACUUGGGGCGAAAUAUGCUUUUUGUUGGUUGAAUUUUGUCCCUCCUUGCCUAAGAAAUACUACAGGGGUCAUCCUUUUAUAAGGACAAAAAAAAAAAUGCUUUUGAACAGUGUCUUCAAUGUAUCAAGCACAAAUAACUCUUUCUUCAACACGAAUCAUAAGUCUCUUUUUACCAGCUUAAAAUAAUAAACGAGUCUAUUAGACAAUGUAAAGAAAA